AGAUUGUGUUGAGGAUAUUUCCUCAAGAGCUUCUUGAAGCGCUCCCAAGCUUCAUAGAGAUUUUCCUCAGUGGUUUGCACAAAAUUCAUAAUGUCUUUUGGCCACCCAU